GAGGAAUAUUGGUCAAUGGGCGCGAGCCUGAACCAGCCAAGUAGCGUGAAGGAUGACUGCCCUAUGGGUUGUAAACUUCUUUUAAGGGGGAAGAGUAGAAGACGGUACCCCUUGAAUAAGCCACGGCUAACUACGUGCCAGCAGCCGCGGUAAUACGGAGGAUGCAAGCGUUAUCCGGAUUUAUUGGGUUUAAAGGGAGCGUAGGCGGACUAUUAAGUCAGCUGUGAAAGUUUACGGCUCAACCGUGAAAUUGCAGUUGAAACUGGUCGUCUUGAGUGCAGUAAAGGUGGGCGGAAUUCGUGGUGUAGCGGUGAAAUGCUUAGAUAUCACGAAGAACUCCAACUGCGAAGGCAGCUCACUGGAGUGUAACUGACGCUGAUGCUCGAAAGUGUGGGUAUCAAACA
rnacentral:rRNA from 1 species